rnacentral:rRNA from 1 species
GUGACCCCAGGAUGGGCGAGGCCACCCGCCGA